GCUUCGAUGAAACUCUGUGCAUAACAGACUGUCCGCGGUAAACAACUCCAAUUUUCAAUAGAUAGAAUAAGUGGGUGGGCACAGUAUGUGUUGAACUUGUCUCAAGCUACAAUAUGUGGAAAACUUACAUUGUGUGGAGAGGUCUGGCGGUUUAAGCUUGCUGGUACAGGAUGUUGAUUUUCUUGAAAAUGAAGAUGAUCACAGUAUUGGGACUUACAAGUAGAUAAUACUGUAAUAGCAGAGGAACUAAUGAGAGAAAUACAGCAGAUGAGCAGUGCUGCAGUGAACAACUCAUAGGAUGUUGAUUUUCUUGAAAAUGAAGAUGAUCACAGUAUUGGAACUCACAAGUAGCUAAUAGCAGAGAAACUAAAUGGGAGAAAUAUAGCAGAUGAGCAGUGAACAACUGAUAGGUUGGUACAUGUUUUUAAAUCUAGUGCGUUGUAUUUGGGUGUAAAAUACAGUGUUGAGAAUGAAUGAAAUAAUGUCAUCAUUACAAACAUAUUGUUGAAAUUUUUGAUUCUAUAUAGCCUAUAUGUAGAUGUAUGAUGAUAUCACUCUAUGCUUUAAAAUCAUGAAGAGUUAGAAUCAAUACUUAUGUCUAGCCCUAGUGGAUUGGGAUAUAACUUAGUUUAGUAAAAUUCGUCUAUUUCAAUAUGACCUUGGUAAGAAGACAAACUGAAAAAAUAGCUAGUCUGUGUUGUUCACCACUUUUGUAAAUUACUAUCAUAAAUUACUUGUCCAGUACAAGGACUCCAAUUCAGUUGGAAACAUUUUUAUUGAAUAUGUUCAAAGUUAACAUGCGACCGUUUUUCUACUGCAAAAGACAUACUCAUCUAAUCUUUUUUUUGUGUAUUCUAAGUCCAUUCCAAUGAGGAGCUCUGGAUCAUCACUAGAUCACAGUUCGAAUGGAAGCUUUAAUUACACAAAAGCAAUGGCAGUGAUUGGUUUUCACCGGGUCGCCUUGACGCAUCGAUUGCGUUUCUUUAUUUAUUUAUUAAGUAAUAUAUUUUGUUCGAUUUAAUUAUAUUUAUCACGUUUUUGUUAGACUUCCCCGAGGGUGCCGCCGCUCGAUAACCAGAAUUGGUUUUCGGCGUCUCCUUUCACCCUGGAAUGCGGUCUUUUAUAUUUCCUUUAUUUGUGUAUGUAUAAUUCGUACUUUCAGCUUGGUGAAGAAUUAAAUUACUGAUUAC